UGUACGUACAAGCAGUGGGAGCACCUUUAUGGUGUGACUGCGUACCUUUUGUAUAAUGGGUCAGCGACUUAUAUUCUGUAGCAAGGUUAACCGUAUAGGGGAGCCGCAGGGAAACCGAGUCUUAACUGGGCGUUAAGUUGCAGGGUAUAGACCCGAAACCCGGUGAUCUAGCCAUGGGCAGGUUGAAGGUUGGGUAACACUAACUGGAGGACCGAACCGACUAAUGUUGAAAAAUUAGCGGAUGACUUGUGGCUGGGGGUGAAAGGCCAAUCAAACCGGGAGAUAGCUGGUUCUCCCCGAAAGCUAUUUAGGUAGCGCCUCGUGAACUCAUCUUCGGGGGUAGAGCACUGUUUCGGCUAGGGGGUCAUCCCGACUUACCAACCCGAUGCAAACUACGAAUACCGAAGAAUGUUAUCACGGGAGACACACGGCGGGUGCUAACGUCCGUCGUGAAGAGGGAAACAACCCAGACCGCCAGCUAAGGUCCCAAAGUCAUGGUUAAGUGGGAAACGAUGUGGGAAGGCACAGACAGCCAGGAUGUUGGCUUAGAAGCAGCCAUCAUUUAAAGAAAGCGUAAUAGCUCACUGGUCGAGUCGGCCUGCGCGGAAGAUGUAACGGGGCUAAACCAUGCACCGAAGCUGCGGCAGCGACACUAUGUGUUGUUGGGUAGGGGAGCGUUCUGUAAGCCUGCGAAGGUGGCCUGUGAGGGCUGCUGGAGGUAUCAGAAGUGCGAAUGCUGACAUAAGUAACGAUAAAGCGGGUGAAAAGCCCGCUCGCCGGAAGACCAAGGGUUCCUGUCCAACGUUAAUCGGGGCAGGGUGAGUCGACCCCUAAGGCGAGGCCGAAAGGCGUAGUCGAUGGGAAACAGGUUAAUAUUCCUGUACUUGGUGUUACUGCGAAGGGGGGACGGAGAAGGCUAUGUUAGCCGGGCGACGGUUGUCCCGGUUUAAGCAUGUAGGCUGGUUAUCCAGGCAAAUCCGGAUAAUCAAGGCUGAGGUGUGAUGACGAGGCACUACGGUGCUGAAGUAACAAAUGCCCUGCUUCCAGGAAAAGCCUCUAAGCAUCAGGUAACAUCAAAUCGUACCCCAAACCGACACAGGUGGUCAGGUAGAGAAUACCAAGGCGCUUGAGAGAACUCGGGUGAAGGAACUAGGCAAAAUGGUGCCGUAACUUCGGGAGAAGGCACGCUGGUGUGUAGGUGAAGUCCCUGCGGAUGGAGCUGAGACCAGUCGAAGAUACCAGCUGGCUGCAACUGUUUAUUAAAAACACAGCACUGUGCAAACACGAAAGUGGACGUAUACGGUGUGACGCCUGCCCGGUGCCGGAAGGUUAAUUGAUGGGGUUAUCCGUAAGGAGAAGCUCUUGAUCGAAGCCCCGGUAAACGGCGGCCGUAACUAUAACGGUCCUAAGGUAGCGAAAUUCCUUGUCGGGUAAGUUCCGACCUGCACGAAUGGCGUAAUGAUGGCCAGGCUGUCUCCACCCGAGACUCAGUGAAAUUGAACUCGCUGUGAAGAUGCAGUGUACCCGCGGCAAGACGGAAAGACCCCGUGAACCUUUACUAUAGCUUGACACUGAACAUUGAGCCUUGAUGUGUAGGAUAGGUGGGAGGCUUUGAAGCGUGGACGCCAGUCUGCGUGGAGCCAACCUUGAAAUACCACCCUUUAAUGUUUGAUGUUCUAACGUUGGCCCCUUAUCGGGGUUGCGGACAGUGUCUGGUGGGUAGUUUGACUGGGGCGGUCUCCUCCCAAAGCGUAACGGAGGAGCACGAAGGUUAGCUAAUCCUGGUCGGACAUCAGGAGGUUAGUGCAAUGGCAUAAGCUAGCUUGACUGCGAGCGUGACGGCGCGAGCAGGUGCGAAAGCAGGUCAUAGUGAUCCGGUGGUUCUGAAUGGAAGGGCCAUCGCUCAACGGAUAAAAGGUACUCCGGGGAUAACAGGCUGAUACCGCCCAAGAGUUCAUAUCGACGGCGGUGUUUGGCACCUCGAUGUCGGCUCAUCACAUCCUGGGGCUGAAGUAGGUCCCAAGGGUAUGGCUGUUCGCCAUUUAAAGUGGUACGCGAGCUGGGUUUAGAACGUCGUGAGACAGUUCGGUCCCUAUCUGCCGUGGGCGCUGGAGAAUUGAGGGGGGCUGCUCCUAGUACGAGAGGACCGGAGUGGACGCAUCACUGGUGUUCGGGUUGUCAUGCCAAUGGCACUGCCCGGUAGCUAAAUGCGGAAGAGAUAAGUGCUGAAAGCAUCUAAGCACGAAACUUGCCCCG
rnacentral:rRNA from 1 species